GUGGGAUCAUUGGGCGGUGGGCGGUGUGGAGGAGUCUCCGCUGGUCCGCAGAAACGAACGAAGGCGCGAGAAUCGGGAAGUUCUGCCUCAGUGACCUGUACGCGUCCUAGCCGCAGUGAAUGUUGCUGAACCCCGGUGACCUCACAGUGGAGGGGCGGCCCCAUGGGGCCAUCGGACCGCGCCGCGCGGGGGCGUUCGCCAGGGCCUCCGCAGAAGCCCGCCUGUGCCCGCAACCGCCCCGAAAUUCUCUCCCUGGCACCGUGUCCGCUUUACGGAGCCCGGAGCAAGGCUCAGAAAAAUGUCCCAGCCAAAAACAUGUCGCUGUUGGUCGUGGCACUGAGGCCCAGAUCAUGCCACCUCCUCUAACAAGUGGCUGAGUGGACACCCCACACAUUCUACCCAAGGGCCGUGAGUGGCCAAGAUCGGGGCUCAGAAGUCUCUGAAUCUUCACAGCUGGUCACGUUCAGCUCGGUCACUUCCUGUCUGUGUUUGUCUUGGAGUAAGGAUUAUUCUCGCUUGCUGGGGUCAUGGUGUUUUGGCCUCUCCUGGCCUGGACUCUCAAAAACUCAUCAUCCUUCAUAGGUCUGAAGGCUUCUACAUUCCCACCAGCAGGUGGACCAUAUGAACUCAAAACUAGUUGUGGCAGAGGGACCCUGAAGAGAUCUACCCCUGGUGAAUGCCCCCAGGAGUGGGCUGUUCUCACACCUGGUGCCCAGCCUGUGCCCUCGCAGGUCUUGGUGCCUCCACUCAGCUCAAUUCCAGUUUUCUGGCCAUGCCCCGCUGUGUCCCUUUCUCUCUCCUUAGUGCCUAGCUGUGCAAUGUUUGCCUCUCCUUAACAUGUCCUCAGCUGACCCCAUAUCCUCAGUCCUUGCAACCCUGUUCCUCAGUGACACCUGUGUAUUCUCUCCAGUGGAGACACAGGUGGGACACCCCCAAGCUCAUGGUACAUGCCUGUCAUCAGUACCCCUGGACUGUCAUGGUGGGUCAGUCUGCCCUAGGCUGGACUGACCAACCUGUUCAUUCCCCCACAGGAUUGCCCUUUACAGUUCAUGAGUUCCCCCAACUGGAGUGCAGACAAGAGCACUGAUUGAUGGACCAGGUAGACUUGAAACCAGGAAUAGCACAAAAGUUAUCAAAGAGGCUCAGCCAUGGAGAUUGCAAGCUGGGGAUGGAAGUAUCCCUGGAAUUGAGCUGUUCUCACACCUGGUACCUGAGUUAUACCCCUGGUGUCUGGGUACCAAGGUCACUAGCCUUGCCACUUUUCUAUGUUCCUGAUCCCCUACUAAACAGUCCACCUUUUCGCCUACUUCCCCUGACUCCUGUACCCUGUCCCCUCUUUCUGCCUAGUUUGAAGACACUGGUCAUCCCAUAACAUGUCCUGGGCUAAUACAUAUCCUCAAAUCGUUCUUGAAAAUCUGUUCCUCUUCCCUCCUCCCCCUCCCCCU
rnacentral:lncRNA from 1 species